rnacentral:misc_RNA from 1 species
CCACCGCCCAAGCGCUAGUGA